UUCCGGUUGAUCCUGCCGGACCUUACUGCUAUCGGGGUGGGACUAAGACAUGCGAGUCGAGCGUCUCUAGCUAUGUCGAGACGCGGCAGACGGCUCAGUAACACGUGGCUAACCUACCUUCAGGACGAGGAUAAACCCGGGAAACUGGGGCUAAUACUCGAUAGGUGAGGAUGUCUGGAAUGACUUCUCAUCCAAAGGGCAUUGGAAACAUGCUUUCAAUGUCGCCUGGGGAUGGGGCCGCGUCCGAUCAGGUUGUUGGUGAGGUAACGGCUCACCAAGCCUAUAACCGGUACGGGCCGUGAGAGCGGUAGCCCGGAGAUGGGUACUGAGACAAGGACCCAGGCCCCACGGGGCGCAGCAGUCGCGAAAACUCCGCAAUGCACGAAAGUGUGACGGGGCUACCCCGAGUGCCAUCCGCUGAGGGUGGCUUUUCUUUGGUAUAACUAGCCAUGGGAAUAAGGAGAGGGCAAGACUGGUGUCAGCCGCCGCGGUAAUACCAGCUCUCCGAGUGGUAGGGAUGAUUAUUGGGCUUAAAGCGUCCGUAGCCGGCUUAGCAAGUCUCCUGUUAAAUUCAGCGACCUAAUCGUUGACCCGCGGGAGAUACUACUAGGCUAGGAGGCGGGAGAGGUCGACGGUACUUCUGGGGUAGGGGUGAAAUCCUAUAAUCCCGGGAGGACCACCAGUGGCGAAGGCUGUCGACUAGAACGCGCCCGACGGUGAGGGAUGAAAGCUGGGGGAGCGAACCGGAUUAGAUACCCGGGUAGUCCCAGCUGUAAACGAUGCAGCUAGGUGUUUGGGCGGCCACGAGCCGCCCUAGUGCCGCAGGGAAGCCAUUAAGCCCGCCGCCUGGGGAGUACGGCCGCAAGGCUGAAACUUAAAGGAAUUGGCGGGGGAGCACCACAAGGCGUGAAGCUUGCGGUUCAAUUGGAUUCAACGCCGG
rnacentral:rRNA from 1 species